GGAUUCCCGUCGAGUAAGAACUAGCCAUUCGCUCGUAGCGAGUCUUGGAGGACUAAAGGUAACUUUAGUUUUUAAGCGAAGACAGUUGGCGGAGCAGCCGUCAAGGCUGAGAAUC
rfam:Bacillus sp. MTM 116 118, whole genome shotgun sequence.